rnacentral:rRNA from 1 species
GACGAACGCUGGCGGCGUGCCUAAUACAUGCAAGUUGAGCGAUGAAGAUUGGUGCUUGCACCAAUUUGAAGAGCAGCGAACGGGUGAGUAACGCGUGGGGAAUCUGCCUUUGAGCGGGGGACAACAUUUGGAAACGAAUGCUAAUACCGCAUAACAACUUUAAACAUAAGUUUUAAGUUUGAAAGAUGCAAUUGCAUCACUCAAAGAUGAUCCCGCGUUGUAUUAGCUAGUUGGUGAGGUAAAGGCUCACCAAGGCGAUGAUACAUAGCCGACCUGAGAGGGUGAUCGGCCACAUGGGGACGGAGACACGGCCCAAACUCCUACGGGAGGCAGCAGGAGGGAAUCUUCGGCAAUGGACGAAAGUCUGACCGAGCAACGCCGCGUGAGUGAAGAAGGUUUUCGGAUCGUAAAACUCGGUUGGUAGAGAAGAACGUUGGUGAGAGUGGAAAGCUCAUCAAGUGACGGUAACUACCCAGAAAGGGACGGCUAACUACGUG